AUUGAACGCUGGCGGCAUGCCUUACACAUGCAAGUCGAACGGCAGCACGGGGGCAACCCUGGUGGCGAGUGGCGAACGGGUGAGUAAUGCAUCGGAACGUGCCCAGUAGUGGGGGAUAACCCGGCGAAAGCCGGGCUAAUACCGCAUACGGCCUAAGGGUGAAAGCGGGGGACCGUAAGGCCUCGCGCUAUUGGAGCGGCCGAUGUCUGAUUAGCUAGUUGGCGGGGUAAAAGCCCACCAAGGCGACGAUCAGUAGCUGGUCUGAGAGGACGACCGGCCACACCGGGACUGAGACACGGCCCAGACUCCUACGGGAGGCAGCAGUGGGGAAUUUUGGACAAUGGGCGCAAGCCUGAUUCAGCCAUGCCGCGUGCGGGAAGAAGGCCUUCGGGUUGUAAACCGCUUUUGGCAGGAACGAAACGGCGCAAGCCAAUACCUUGCGCUAAUGACGGUACCUGCAGAAUAAGCACCGGCUAACUACGUGCCAGCCGCCGCGGUAACAC
rnacentral:rRNA from 1 species